rnacentral:rRNA from 1 species
AGUGGCGGACGGGUGAGUAACGCGUGAGCAACCUGCCCUUCGGAGGGGGAUAGUGUCUGGAAACGGACAGUAAUACCGCAUAACGUAUUUUUACCGCAUGAUAGAAAUACCAAAACUGAGGUGCCGAAGGAUGGGCUCGCGUUGGAUUAGAUAGUUGGUGGGGUAACGGCCUACCAAGUCGACGAUCCAUAGCCGGACUGAGAGGUUGAACGGCCACAUUGGGACUGAGACACGGCCCAGACUCCUACGGAAGGCAGCAG